rnacentral:rRNA from 1 species
UACGUAGGGUGCAAGCGUUGUCCGGAAUCAUUGGGCGUAAAGAGCGCGUAGGCGGCUAGAUAAGUCCGGUGUGAAAGUCACAGGCUCAACCUGUGAAUGCCGCUGGAAACUGUCUGGCUAGAGUCCGGAAGGGGCGAGUGGAAUUCCUGGUGUAGCGGUGAAAUGCGCAGAUAUCAGGAAGAACACCCGUGGCGAAGGCGGCUCUCUGGGACGGUACUGACGCUGAGACGCGAAAGCGUGGGGAGCGAACAGG